rnacentral:lncRNA from 1 species
ACUUUCAAAGCAGCUGUUGCUAUCACCCACAAUGGCCAAAGAAUAACCACAGUCAUGCAUCCCUGAAGCACCUCUUUAGAGCUACAUGACCACCUCGUGUAUGAUUUAACUGCAAAAUGUCCUUCCAGAAAACGAAAAUUUUCUGUGUAGCAAUGUUAUAAACCAAUUACAUAUUGUAGAAAAGUCACUGAAUAUUCAGUCAUUGAAUAACCACUAUGUGCCAGUUACUGUUCAAAAUAUAUUUGUAGUUAUGUGAAGCCACUUUUUUCUACUAAUGAUUUUAAAAUAGGACCACAAUUCAUGUUUCUUAAAAAAACGUUAUCAUUGGGGCUGGCCCCGCAGCCGAGUGGUUAAGUUCGCGCGCUCCGCUGCAGGCGGCCCAGUGUUUCGUUGGUUCGAAUCCUGGGCGCAGACAUGGCACUGCUCAUCAAACCACGCUGAGGCAGCGUCCCACAUGCCACAACUAGAAGGAUGCACACGAAGAAUAUACAACUAUGUACCGGGGGGCUUUGGGGAGAAAAGGGAAAAAAUAAAAUCUUAAAAAAACAAAACAAAACAUUAUCAUCAAUAGGGGAAGUCUGUCCUUCUAUUGACUAUGACAGCUAGGCAUGCAUCAGGUUGAUAUCCAUCCACAAAGAUAAUCUAGCAAUCAGAACAGGCUUUAAAGUGCUCUGGUAAUAAAAGAUCUUUACUCUGUAAUUUACUCAAGUUAGAUGUUUAAUAAAAUGAGUUAUGGCAAGAGGAGUUCUAGGCCCCACAAAAUUAUAGGCAUUUGGGGGCUCCUGAGAACUAACAGGGAUCUGUGCCCAGGGAAUGAAUCAGCAACACUUUUGUUUCGUCUAAAAACUCCCCCUACAAACACCCCUUGAUCCGCUGGGCUGGCCCCUGGAGCUCAUGUUGAACUAUAUGACCUGACUACAGCUAAGUGGACUGGAGAUCAGCACAGAGCUCUAACUGGGCAAAUCUGAUCCUCUCAUCAAGAAUUUGGAAUUAGGGGGCCGGCCUGGUGGCGCAGUGGUUAAGUUCGCCGGUUCCGCUCCUCCACAGCCCGGGGUUCGCCGGUUCAGAUCCUAGGUGUGGACAUGGCACCGCUUGGCACGCCAUGCUGUGGUAGGCGUCCCACGUAUAAAGUAGAGGAAGAUGGGCAUGGAUGUUAGCUCAGGGCCAGGCUUCCUCAGCAAAAAGAGGAGGGCUGGCAGUAGUUAGCUCAGGGCUAAUCUUCCUCCAAAAAAAAAAAAAAAAAAAAGAAUUUGGAAUUGGGUCCAAAGAAAGUUGAGUUAGUUUCAUCAUAUAGCUGCACCUGCAAAAUGUAACCCUGGAGCUGCAAGGCCACCGAGUCCAACUUAACCGAGGAGUAGAGACAGCAACCCACAGAAAGAAAACUAUGGAGCAAAUAAGUAUGAAAGAAGAGACCAAAGACACAGAGAUCCCCGAUGGCUUUCAGUUCCUCGGUUAAGCUCU